rnacentral:rRNA from 1 species
CCUACGGGAGGCAGCAGUGGGGAAUAUUGGGCAAUGGGCGCAAGCCUGACCCAGCAACGCCGCGUGAAGGAAGAAGGCUUUCGGGUUGUAAACUCCUUUUGACAGGGAAGAGUAGAGGACGGUACCUGACGAAUAAGCAACGGCUAACUACGUGCCGGCAGCCGCGGUAAUACGUAGGUGGCAAGCGUUGUCCGGAUUUACUGGGUGUAAAGGGCGUGUAGCCGGGUUGACAAGUCAGAAGUGAAAUCCUUCGGCUUAACCGCAGAACUGCAUUUGAAACUGUUGAUCUUGAGUACUGGAGAGGCAGAUGGAAUUCCUGGUGUAGCAGUGAAAUGCGUAGAUAUUAGGAGGAACACCAGUGGCGAAGGCGGUCUGCUGGACAGCAACUGACGGUGAGGCGCGAAGGCGUGGGGAGCAAACAGGAUUAGAUACCCGAGUAGUC